CAGCUAGUUGUCUUGGAUCCCGUUGCCUGCAGAUCUGGGACCCUUCAAUUAAAGCGGCUUAAGGCUCCCGCAGGGGUUUGGUCGGUAUUGCACUUCAAGUGCUGAAGCCGACAUACAGUCUAGGAAUGCUUACCCGGGCGACCUGGAUAUCACCCGUAAAUGGGUUCCCCUGC